rnacentral:rRNA from 1 species
CCCUGAUCCAGCCAUGCCGCGUGAGUGAAGAAGGCCUUCGGGUUGUAAAGCUCUUUCAGAUGUGAAGAUGAUGACGGUAGCAUCAGAAGAAGCCCCGGCUAAUUUCGUGCCAGCAGCCGCGGUAAUA